AUCGCCAGUCCCACCUUCGACAGCUCCCAGGAUAUCGUUAAACGGAAAGGUAAGCCAAGGGGUAGAGAUUAAUUGACCCAAUGGGCAGAAAAGCACUGAAGGCAGGCGACAGCAGGCUGAAGGAAUGACGGCCUUUCGGGUUGAAAACCCACUUUCAGGCAGGGAAAGAAAGAGAAAAGUAACCGGUAACUUACAGAAAGAAAGCGCCCGGCUAUAUACGUAGCCAGGCAGACGCGGUAAUAAGUAGGGCGCAAGCGUUGUCCAGAAAUAUUUGGAGCGUAAAAGAGCUUGGUAAGGCGGGCUAGUCACGUCGAUUGGGAAAGCCCAGGGGAUUAAACCCCGGGUUCUGCAGUCGAUACGGCAGGCUAGAGUUCGGUAGGGGAGAUUGGAAUUCCUGGUGUAGCGGUAAAUUGCGCAGAUAUCAGGAGAAACACCGGUGGCGAAGGGCGGGAUCUCUGGGCCGAUACUGACGCUGAGGAGCGAAAGCGUGGGGAGCGAACAGGAUUAGAUACCCUGGUAGUACACGCCGUAAACGGUGGGCACUAGGUGUGGGCAACAUUCCACGUUGUCCGUGCCGCAGCUAACGCAUUAAGUGCCCCGCCUGGGGAGUACGGCCGCAAGGCUAAAACUCAAAGGAAUUGACGGGGGCCCGCACAAGCGGCGGAGCAUGUGGCUUAAUUCGACGCAACGCGAAGAACCUUACCAAGGCUUGACAUACACCGGAAACGGCCAGAGAUGGUCGCCCCCUUGUGGUCGGUGUACAGGUGGUGCAUGGCUGUCGUCAGCUCGUGUCGUGAGAUGUUGGGUUAAGUCCCGCAACGAGCGCAACCCUUGUCCCGUGUUGCCAGCAAGCCCCUUCGGGGGUGUUGGGGACUCACGGGAGACCGCCGGGGUCAACUCGGAGGAAGGUGGGGACGACGUCAAGUCAUCAUGCCCCUUAUGUCUUGGGCUGCACACGUGCUACAAUGGCCGGUACAAUGAGCUGCGAUACCGCAAGGUGGAGCGAAUCUCAAAAAGCCGGUCUCAGUUCGGAUUGGGGUCUGCAACUCGACCCCAUGAAGUCGGAGUCGCUAGUAAUCGCAGAUCAGCAUUGCUGCGGUGAAUACGUUCCCGGGC
rnacentral:rRNA from 1 species